rnacentral:RNase_P_RNA from 1 species
UGAGCUGGCCGGAUGGUCGCGGCGCAAGUCGAGGAACGUCCGGACUCCAUAGGACACGGUGGUGGCUAACAGCCACCCGGGGUGACCCGCGGGAUAGUGCCACAGAAAACAAACCGCCGUCGUUUUUAGCGACGGUAAGGGUGAAACGGUGGUGUAAGAGGCCACCAGCAAGUCGGGUGACCGAUUUGGCUAGGAAAACCCCACCGGGAGCAAGACCAAGCAGCACGCAGAGCUGUCCGUUCGACGCGUGCGGGUAGGUUGCUGGAGGUCAUGAGCAAUCAUGACUCGAGAUAGAUGGCCAUCGCAGGGAGUCUCAAAUCCUCCUUGUACAGAAUCCGGCGUAUAGGCCAGCUCAUCCU